GGCUCAAUGGUCUAGUGGUAUGAUUCCUGCUUCGGGUUACACCCUUCUAUCUUACAUGGGAAUGCAGGAGGCCCCGGGUUCGAAUCCCGGUUGAGCCC
rnacentral:tRNA from 1 species